CUCGACAGCAGUGUCCAUCACCGUUUCCCUCAUCAUCUCUUUGCUCACUUCCAUUUUCUAACUCGUCUCUUUGAGGCUUCGAUUAGCAAAACGAUAUUAACAACUCCACUUAACAGUGUCAGGCACAGGGAGGAAGAUAAGGGAAGAUUUGCGAACGAGAUUGAGUCAGGCCGAGUCGAGUUACAUAGUUAUUCUGACGAGUCGUCGCUCGAGUGGGAGACUGAGUCGAAGAGGAGUCAGACCUCAUUUGGGUCGGCAGCAAACACAAAGCACGGCAAGGUCGAGAGGAAGAAAGGAACUCCGUGGACAGAAGAAGAACACAGGUAGUGUUGAUAGAGAAUGAUAUAGAUGCGAGACCAUUUAUUUCUCAAGUUUUGUCAUGUUUGCGGCCAUUACUUCGUCUGUGUCUUCUGAAGAUUUGGCAAAUCCUAUUAGGUAGGAUUUGCGUCAUAUACGUGUCUUUAGUGUGGAUCCUCCAAGAUGCAAGGAUAUUGAUGAUGCAUUACAUAAUGGAAAUUUUGAAGUUGGAGUUCGUAUCCUUUGACCUUUUGGUUCUUGCACGUAUGUUGACCUUAUAACUAUCAUGGAAAUUAUUGGAACUCACUAAUGGAAGCAAAUAGCACGAAAAAUAUCAAAACCAUGACAGCAAAAUUUAUUAUAUGUGACAAGAGGGAACUUCUGACACGACGGAGAACGAUCUUGGAGGAGAAGUUUAUGUUUCAAGUUUGUUUUUUUGGCUUUGAAUGCUUAUUUAUGUUGAAGAUUUGCCUAUUAGUGGAAACUAUCAUUUAUCUUGCUAAUUACUUAGAAAAAACAAAUCUUGAUUAUUACUAAUUUGGUUGAACUUUUACCUAUCUUGCUAAUUACUAAUUUGUUUCUUGAUAUGUAGAAGAGGCUGCUCUCCUCAAGGGUGUCUCUGUAUGUCUACAUAUGGGGAUGGAGACCUUUUAUAGGAUAGUUGGGCCAUGGAGGCCAGCUCGUGCUUGAGGGUCAUGCCAAGGAGUGGCAAAUGUAGGUGUGGUAUGCCUUUCGAGUUAUUACAUGAGUGUGCGUGUCCAUGUAUGGGAUGGGGACCUUUUGUAGGAUAGUUGGGCCAUGAAGGUCAGCUCAUCCUUAAGAGUUAUGCCAAAGGGUGGCAAAGUUUGGUGUCAUACGCCUUUUGAGGUAUCAUAUGCCUUAGUCAAAUAGGUCUUUCUUUCUUGUCUAAGAUAGGUGAAAGUGGAGCCACCUCGAGAGGGUGGACUAAGCAAUUUUGCUAAUCUCUCAACUUUAACUACCAAUCUACAAGUUUGUGGUAAUCCAGCGUGGAGUCAUGGGUCGCUUGGGUGUCUCAUGAUUGAGGCACUGAGGGAUCCAUAGGCCCUACUCCUUAUCUAUACCUAGGCAAGCUGUGUGGCUCUGGGUGGCAUUCUUGAGGCCUUGAGGCAAGGUGAGGCCAUGAAGUGACGCACUGCGACUAGGUGAGAAUGUGAGGCUCAUGCCUUGUGAUGAUCCAACUCCUCUUAAGUGAUGACGUGUCAUGUAUGUAGGGCACAAAUACCUAUAAUGUUUAUUGAAAAUUCAUUAAGAGUGGAAUUUUUUGUUGUUGCAAUGUUUUAAGCGUUUACUAUCAAGUUUGAGCAUUGGUUGGAGGGCAUCCACUUUACCUAGUGAACCUCUCACUGCUACAUUGGUAGGAUGAGCACUUAAUUUUAGAUGUAAUUUUUUUGAUCGUCUUAUAUUUUCAUCAUCCUUGCUUCUGAUUCUCGAUACAUUCAUGAUUUAGUCUUUAUUUAUUUGAUAAAUAAAAUUUUAUUAUUGACAACAUCAAGCUGAUGCUAAAAUACACCAAAAAAAAUAAAAUAAAACAAAAACCCCAUGAAAGGGGAGAGACCACCUAACCAAUCAAAUCAUCCAAAAAAAUUCAAAAAAGCAAACAAAUCCAGGUCCACCAUACAUGUAACCCAGGUAUACAAAACUACAAAAAGCCUAUUUUCUAACCACGAAAGAGAACAAGCCAUCCCUUGAAAAAUACACUAAUUCCGUAUUGAUGACUUUUUUCUACAUGUAUAUUGUAGCCACUUGAUGGAUCCGCUAACUACAGAUUUGAGAAAUAUGAAUGUUUUAGCAAAGGUAAUGAGGCAGAGGCGUAUUGAUAGAGGAGCAUUGACUCUUGCCUCUGCUGAAGUGAAAUUUCAGAUUGAUACUGAAACUCAUGACUCUCUGGAUAUUGAAUUCCUUCAGGACUCAAAGGCCCAAAUCAUUCUAUAUAAACUGGGUGUCUGGGGUUCCAUUACAGUUUUGGUCCAACUCAUGGUGGUUUAUCCUUGAAUAUGGAUGUGGCUACAACUAUGAUAUUAACACUUGGACCUGUGAUUGAUUUUCUUCUGGCCAAUCAGAAUGCACUGGAACCUCGUAAUAUUAACUGGGCAAAGCAGUUGAAGGUUCGGGAAGCAGAAAAGAAUCAGUGUAAAGAUAUCGUGAGAAGUGAAAAGACAAGUAUCUUAAAUGUCUAAGCUGCUCUUUCUGUCAAUCAGAUUGAACUACAAAAAGUCCAUUUUCCUUAUUUCUUUUCUUUUUUUGUUACUCACAUUCCUGUUAGCUGAAUAUUCAAGAGCAAGAAAAAGGUGGCAAACCCUUCGUCUGCUAGUUUGGACAUUUACUUAAACCAUCAGAUGGGGAAUCAGACCCAGAAUGAGCUCUCAAAUAGGAGUGAUGCAUGCUCUCCACCCCAAAUUAGACCACCCAACACUCCUACCUGGUGUAGCUCAGUGGAUAAUAUAGUGAAGAAUACAAUCUUUCUGUUGCUCUCAAUGACAAAGAUGUCAGGGAGCAUUACAUACAAUGGACAUAGUUUAAAUGAGUUUGUUCCUUAGAGGACAUCUGCUUAUGUCAGUCAACAAGAUUGGCAUGUGGCAGAGAUGACAGUAAGGAAGACUUUUGACUUCUCAACUGGUUGUCAGGGUGUUGGAUAUAAAUAUGAUAUGCUUCUGGAACUUUCAUGAAGAGAGAAAAUUGCUGGAAUAAAACCUGAUGAAGAUUUUGAUAUACUUAUGAAGGUGAUGUGUACAAAAUACCUUCAAGAAAGAAAAGACUUGGUCCAAGCAUUUCACAAGGAUAUAAAACUCUCUGAUCUUCCCAAGAUAAAUCAAGUUUUUGUAUCUCUUACUUUGUCUGUCACCAUAUUAUUUAGCUCCUGCUUUGUUUCUCAGUUACUAGUUUGAUUGGCUCGCUAAUGGUGUAAUUUCUCCAUGAUGUAGCCCAUGUUAAUAAUCUGGGGAGAUCAAUAUCAGAUAUUUCCACUGGAAUUGGCGCACCGAUUAAAAAGGUUUAUGAUCAUCGAAUAUAUCAAUAUUUAGUGAGCCCUUUGGAGCCAUUGUCUAUUAUAAAAGAUGAUGAGCAUAUUGUAGCCUACAGACUUCCAAAAAGUCAGGCAGAAUUAACAAGACUAGAGAUAUAUCAUUGUGACCUAGAAAAAUUGGUUUUUAAUGAUGUUUGGAAGUAUACUUGCAAAUGAAGAUCAACUGUUGAAUUUUGUUUCCUGAACUGAUACUUAGUUGUAGUUGCAAAUCAAGAUUGAGUGUUGAUUUUUUUUUGUGGAUUC